GUCUUUUUGUAUAAUAAUUUAAAGUCUUGCCUGCCCACUGAAAAUUUGAAUGGCCGCGGUAUUUUGACCGUGCAAAGGUAGCAUAAUCAUUAGUUUUUUAAUUGAAAGCUGGAAUGAAUGGUAGCAUAAAAGAAAAUCUGUCUCAAAUUAAUUAUUUUAAAAUUUUAUUUUUAAGUAAAAAAGCUUAAAUUUUUUUAAAAGACGAGAAGACCCUAUAGAGUUUGAUAAAAAUUGUAAAUAUUUUUAAAAUGAUUAUUGAUUUAUUUAUAAAAUUUAUUUUAUUGGGGUGAUGAAAAAAUUAAAUGAACUUUUUUUAAAAUUAAACAUUUAUUUAUGAUUAAUUGAUCCAAAAAUUUUGAUUAUAAGAAUAAAUUACCUUAGGGAUAACAGCGUAAUUUUUUCAGAGAGUUCAAAUCGAAGAAAAAGAUUGCGACCUCGAUGUUGGAUUAAAAUUAAUUAUUGGUGUAGAAGCUAAUUUAUUAGGUCUGUUCGACCUUUAAAAUUUUACAU
rnacentral:rRNA from 1 species